rnacentral:rRNA from 1 species
UACGGGGGGGGCAAGCGUUGUUCGGAAUUACUGGGCGUAAAGGGCUCGUAGGCGGCCAACUAAGUCAGACGUGAAAUCCCUCGGCUUAACCGGGGAACUGCGUCUGAUACUGGAUGGCUUGAGUUCGGGAGAGGGAUGUGGAAUUCCAGGUGUAGCGGUGAAAUGCGUAGAUAUCUGGAGGAACACCGGUGGCGAAGGCGGCAUCCUGGACCAAUACUGACACUGAGGAGCGAAAGCCAGGGGAGCAAACGGG